GACGAACGCUGGCGGCGUGCUUCAUACAUGCAAGUCGAACGGGAAGCUGACUUCGGUCAGUGGAAAGUGGCGGACGGGUGAGUAAUAUGUAGGAAAUCUGCCUUUAGGAGGGGGACAACAGAGGGAAACUUCUGCUAAUACCCCAUAUGAGCGUAGCUGAAAUGCUAUUCUUGAAAACUCCGGUGCCUAAAGAUGAGCCUGCAUCUGAUUAGCUAGUUGGUAGUGUAAUGGACUACCAAGGCGACGAUCAGUAGCUGGUUUGAGAGGAUGAUCAGCCACAAUGGGACUGAGACACGGCCCAUACUCCUACGGGAGGCAGCAGUAGGGAAUUUUGCGCAAUGGGCGAAAGCCUGACGCAACAACGCCGCGUGAACGAUUAAGCCCUUCGGGGUGUAAAGUUCUGUCAGUGGGGACGAAACUUGACGGUACCCACAGAGGAAGCACCGGCUAACUCCGUG
rnacentral:rRNA from 1 species